GGUAAUUUAAGCAUAUUACUAAGCGGAGGAAAAGAAACUAACAAGGAUUCCCCCAGUAGCGGCGAGCGAACAGGGAAGAGUCCAGCACCGAACCCCGCAGGCUGCCGCCUGUCGUGGCAUGUGGUGUUUGGGAGGGUCCACUACCCCGACGCCUCGCGCCGAGCCCAAGUCCAACUUGAAUGAGGCCACGGCCCGUAGAGGGUGCCAGGCCCGUAGCGGCCGGUGCGAGCGUCGGCGGGACCUCUCCUUCGAGUCGGGUUGCUUGAGAGUGCAGCUCCAAGUGGGUGGUAAACUCCAUCUGAGACUAAAUAUGACCACGAGACCGAUAGCGAACAAGUACCGUGAGGGAAAGUUGAAAAGAACUUUGAAGAGAGAGUUCAAAAGUACGUGAAACCGUUCUGGGGUAAACGUGAGAAGUCCGAAAGGUCGAACGGGUGAGAUUCACGCCCAUCCGGCCACUGGCCCCCGCCCUCGGCAGAUGGGGCCGGCCGCCCGCGCGGAGCAAUCCGCGGCGGGGUCGUGUCCGGUUGCCUUUCCACUCGCCGCGGGGUGGGGCCGUUCCGGUGUGCGGUGGGCCGCACUUCUCCCCUAGUAGGACGUCGCGACCCGCUGGGUGCCGGCCUACGGCCCGGGUGCGCAGCCUGUCCUUCCGCGGGCCUCGGUUCGCGUCUGUUGGGCAGAGCCCCGGUGUCCUGGCUGGCUGCUCGGCGGUAUAUCUGGAGGAGUCGAUUCGCCCCUUUGGGCGCUCGGGCUCCCGGCAAGCGCGCGCGGUUCUUCCCGGAUGACGGACCUACCUGGCCCGGCCCCGGACCCGCGCCGCUGUUGGCUCGGGAUGCUCUCGGGCGGAAUAAUCGCUCCCGUCAGCGGCGCUUCAGCUUUGGACAAUUUCACGACCCGUCUUGAAACACGGACCAAGGAGUCUAACAUGUGCGCGAGUCAUUGGGCUGUACGAAACCUAAAGGCGUAAUGAAAGUGAAGGUCUCGCCUUGCGCGGGCCGAGGGAGGAUGGGGCUUCCCCGCCCUUCACGGGGCGGCGGCCUCCGCACUCCCGGGGCGUCUCGUCCUCAUUGCGAGGUGAGGCGCACCUAGAGCGUACACGUUGGGACCCGAAAGAUGGUGAACUAUGCCUGGCCAGGACGAAGUCAGGGGAAACCCUGAUGGAGGUCCGUAGCGAUUCUGACGUGCAAAUCGAUCGUCGGAGCUGGGUAUAGGGGCGAAAGACUAAUCGAACCAUCUAGUAGCUGGUUCCCUCCGAAGUUUCCCUCAGGAUAGCUGGUGCUCGUACGAGUCUCAUCCGGUAAAGCGAAUGAUUAGAGGCCUUGGGGCCGAAACGACCUCAACCUAUUCUCAAACUUUAAAUGGGUGAGAUCUCCGGCUUGCUUGAUAUGCUGAAGCCGCGAGCAAACGACUCGGAUCGGAGUGCCAAGUGGGCCACUUUUGGUAAGCAGAACUGGCGCUGUGGGAUGAACCAAACGCCGAGUUAAGGCGCCCGAAUCGACGCUCAUGGGAAACCAUGAAAGGCGUUGGUUGCUUAAGACAGCAGGACGGUGGCCAUGGAAGUCGGAAUCCGCUAAGGAGUGUGUAACAACUCACCUGCCGAAGCAACUAGCCCUGAAAAUGGAUGGCGCUGAAGCGUCGUGCCUAUACUCGGCCGUCAGUCUGGCAGUCAUGGCCGGUCCUCGCGGCCGGCCGCGAAGCCCUGACGAGUAGGAGGGUCGCGGCGGUGGGCGCAGAAGGGUCUGGGCGUGAGCCUGCCUGGAGCCGCCGUCGGUGCAGAUCUUGGUGGUAGUAGCAAAUACUCCAGCGAGGCCCUGGAGGGCUGACGCGGAGAAGGGUUUCGUGUGAACAGCCGUUGCACACGAGUCAGUCGAUCCUAAGCCCUAGGAGAAAUCCGAUGUUGAUGGGGGCCGUCAUAGCAUGAUGCACUUUGUGCUGGCCCCCGUUGGGCGAAAGGGAAUCCGGUUCCUAUUCCGGAACCCGGCAGCGGAACCGAUACAAGUCGGGCCCCUCUUUUAGAGAUGCUCGUCGGGGUAACCCAAAAGGACCCGGAGACGCCGUCGGGAGAUCGGGGAAGAGUUUUCUUUUCUGCAUGAGCGUUCGAGUUCCCUGGAAUCCUCUAGCAGGGAGAUAGGGUUUGGAACGCGAAGAGCACCGCAGUUGCGGCGGUGUCCCGAUCUUCCCCUCGGACCUUGAAAAUCCGGGAGAGGGCCACGUGGAGGUGUCGCGCCGGUUCGUACCCAUAUCCGCAGCAGGUCUCCAAG
rnacentral:rRNA from 1 species